UACGGGGGGGGGCAAGCGUUGUUCGGAAUUACUGGGCGUAAAGGGCUCGUAGGCGGCCAACUAAGUCGGACGUGAAAUCCCCAGGCUCAACCUGGGAACUGCGUCUGAUACUGGAUGGCUUGAAUCCGGGAGAGGGAUGCAGAAUUCCAGGUGUAGCGGUGAAAUGCGUAGAUAUCUGGAGGAAUACCGGUGGCGAAGGCGGCAUCCUGGACCGGCAUUGACGCUGAGGAGCGAAAGCCAGGGGAGCAAAGCGGG
rnacentral:rRNA from 1 species